rnacentral:lncRNA from 1 species
CAGAGCCUUAAAGCAAGUAUUAGGCAGCUUUGCUCUUUCAUAUUCAUCCUGUCUUGAUUUUCUUCAGAUUAUUUAUACGAUGAAAAAUCCUAGUAAAAGAAAUUCGAAAUUUUAGGGAGGAAAAUUUCACAUGACUUUAGAGGGGUUGAUGGAAAGAUUUACACAACCACAGUGCAAAUGAUGGUGGCUUGUAAAAGAACAACCUGUCAGAUGUGAGACAAGAAUAGAAAAGAAGGACAACUUGACUUAGAUAUGCAGAAUUACAAGAAUCUGCAGUGCAGGUCCUGUGCUUUCCAUCCAAUUUCCUCAAAUCCAUGUAAAUCUGAAAAUUCUUCGCUGCUGGUAAAAUAUUCACAUCUAAGAGACUCCAUGGCCUAUAAAGGAUGAAUAUAUAUAUGAUGAAUUAUAAUGAAUUCUUAUAAUGACCACUAUAAUAGAAUCUAUUAUGCCAGCAGAAUGAAGCCUGUGUCAACACUUCCAUUAUAAAAUUUUGAUUUUAAGAGUUUUUAACUUAUCUCCAUAAACACCAUAAGCCCCUACUGUGUAAGUCAAACUAUUGUUUUCCCACAGCAUAAAAUUAUUGAGAGGAUAUUACUGAUUUUAACUGAACAAAGGUCUUAAUUAGG